rnacentral:lncRNA from 12 species
GUUUUUUUAUUUGUUUUGUGGGCAUUUUUGUCCCUGUUUUUGUUUAUUUGGUUUUUUGGUAAAUCUGCUUUUAAAUAGAUGUCAAACCUGAUUACAUGUGUCUUUGUUCCUAGCUGGAAUGCACACCCUGCCUAGAAGAAAAAUGGCUUUUUUCUAACAUGCUGAUGAAGCAUAAGAGAAGCUCAAUAAUUUGCAUUAAUUACUUGAUGGGAAGAAGAGGGAUAUUUUGAAGGCAUUCCAUAAAACAGCCAUGGACAACAAGAAUCUUAACUGGAGAUCAACAGUACAGAAACAGUAUGGCAAUACAUGCACUUGCACAGUGACUUUCUGCACAGAUGAGUUCCCAUGAGAAAAGUUUGCAAUGAAGAGCUCCAAGUUGGCAUUUCUGGCAACUGCA